UUAGAUUUUAUUUAUUAAUAAUUUAUAUUUUUUUGUAAAAUAUUAAAAAUAAUUAUAAAAUAUAAAGUUUUAGUAUUGUUUAAAGAAAAAAUAAUUUUAAUAAUAGUUUAAUAGUAUUGUAAAAGAAAAUUGAAAUAAUUUGAAAAAAUUUUAUUAUAAAAGAAAAUUUAAUUUAUUGUACCUUGUGUAUCAGCGUUUAUUAAAUAAAAAAUAUUAAUAAAUAUUUUUCUCGAUUUUAAAAGAGUUAAUAUAAUAUAAAAGUUAAUGUGAUAAAAUUAUUUUAAAUAUUAUAUUAGAAAUGAAAUGUUAUUCGUUUUUAAAGGUAUCUAGUUUUUCAAGAAAUAAAUUUAAUUUAGAAAUUAUAAAUUUAUUUUAAAAAUUUUUUAAUAAAAUAAUUUAUAAUUUUAAUAUUUUAUGGGAUAAGCUAUAAAAUAAAUUUUUAAAAAUAAUAAAUAAAUUUAAUAAAUAUAUGCUUAGAAUUAGCAAUUGUUAAUAAUUAUGUUAUAAUUUAUUUUAUAAAUAAAAUUAUUUAUUAAAUUUUAAUUAUUUAUUGAAAUAUUAAUUUUAAUUAUUAAAAUUAAGUAAUAAUGAUAGAAUUAGUAUAUUAUAUUGUAAAAAUAAAUUUUAAUGAUAAGUUUAAAUAAAGAAUUCGGCAAAAAUAAUGUUCGCCUGUUUAACAAAAACAUGUCUUUUUGAAAUAAAUUUAAAGUCUAACCUGCCCACUGAAUUUUUAAAUGGCCGCAGUAUUCUAACUGUGCAAAGGUAGCAUAAUCAUUAGUCUUUUAAUUGAAGGCUGGAAUGAAUGGUUGGACGAAAUAUUAACUGUUUCAUUUAAAAUUUUUAUAGAAUUUUAUUUUUUAGUCAAAAAGCUAAAAUUUAUUUAAAAGACGAGAAGACCCUAUAAAUCUUUAUAUUUUGUUUAUUUUAAUUGUAAAGAUUUUUUUUAUUAUAAUAAAUUAAAAUAUUUUAUUGGGGUGAUAAUAAAAUUUAAUAAACUUUUAAUUUUAAAACCAUUAAUUUAUGAAUAAUUGAUCCAUUAAUAAUGAUUAAAAAUUUAAGUUACUUUAGGGAUAACAGCGUAAUUUUUUUGGAGAGUUCUUAUCGAUAAAAAAGAUUGCGACCUCGAUGUUGGAUUAAGAUAUAAUUUUGGGUGUAGCCGUUCAAAUUUUAAGUCUGUUCGACUUUUAAAUUCUUACAUGAUCUGAGUUCAAACCGGCGUAAGCCAGGUUGGUUUCUAUCUUUAAAAAAUUGUAAUAUUUUAGUACGAAAGGACCAAAUAUUAAAAUAAUUAUAUUUUAAAAAAGAAUAUCAUUAAUAAUAA
rnacentral:rRNA from 1 species